UGUUUAAAAUUAAAAUCAUCUCUGUCAAAGCAAUGACUUCAUACAAAAUUUAUUAGGAGGUUUUUGAGUGAAUUGUGUGUUUUAAAGCAUUUUGCAGCACUUUAAAAUGUAUUUAAAAAAAUAAAAAAACCAAAAGAGCGUAUAUUGAGUUAUUAUUAUGAACCUGAACAUGCAAGCAAGAGUACAAUAAAGCAGGCGGCGAACCAGCAAGAUUAUUAUUAAGUUAGUACAAUGAAGCGGUUGGGGACGAAUACAUAGAUAUACAUUGUCUCCAUGAGUUUGAUGAAAAAGAUAAAGACUUAAUAAAGUUGGUUAAAAUAGCAUAUAUGGCAGGUAAAGGAACUCAUAGAGUUCCAGUUAUUAUUCUGGCGGCACUCUGAGGGCAUUAUCUAUAAUUUCUAAUAUAAAUAUAAGAAAUAAAGUCAACAUUCCUAAAAACAAUCCUUAUCUUUUUGCGUGUACCAGAAAUUCUAAUGGUCAUACUUCUGGAUGGAAUGCAAUUGAUAGUAUAGUAAAAACAUUGCCCCAAAAAAAACCAGAGAAUUUCAACGCUACAAAAAAUAGACAUUGAUUAAGUUCUAUUUUCGCAAGACUUGAUUUGUCAACACAAGAUAGGGAUCUAUGGUUUAAACAUAUAGAUCACUCAGAGGAAACCAAUAAAAGUGUAUAUCAAAUACCGCUAGGCAUGUUGGAUAUUGUGAAAGCUGGAAGAAGACUUAUGAAUAUAAAAUUAGGUACAAGUGCAAGUACAUUUAUUCCAUCAGAGAGUCAAAAUGAGUGUCAAAAAUCUACAGGCGGAAGUUCUAGUUUAUUUACGAUUUGGAGAGUUGUGCAAGUCAAAAUCCAAGAAAAUCUACUGAUAAAAGAUAUGGUGCAACUUCUAGUACAUUUAAUCCAUCAGAGAGUUUUGCAUAUCCAAAUGCAAGUCAAAAAUCUGCACAUACAGUAUAUGAGGGUGCAAGUUCUAGUACAUUUAUUCCAUCGGAGAGUUUCACGAGUCAAAAUGAACGUCAAAAGUCAACAGAUACAAGUUAUGGUGCAAUUUUCAAUACAUUUACUCCUUUGGAUUGUUUUGAAAGUCAAAAUAAAGGUCAAAAUUCUACAGAUAUUAGAUAUGGUAGUGACGCAUUUGUUACUUUUUUUUAACAGUUUAAGUAUUUGGGUUUUAUUAUAUUUCUAUGAUUUAUAAUAAUAAAAACUUGGUUUAUAAACUUAUAUGCGAAAAUUUUAAACUCUUAUCAUUCAAAUAAGGUGCAAGUUUCAGUACAUUUAUUCCAUCGGAGAGUUUCGCAAAGCAAAAUAAAGUUCAAAAAAUCUGCAGGGAAAAGAUAUGGUAUUUAUGAAGUUAUAAAUAAAUUUUAUUUUAACAAAACUAAUGAUUAGGUUUUAGUUUUUUUAUAUGACUUAUACAUAAAAACCUUUUAUCUAUAAACUUAUAUGCGAAAAUGUUGAACUCUUUUUAUCAAAUAAAGGUGCAAGUUCCAGCACAUUUACUCCUUCGGAGUGUUUUGCAAGUCAAAAUAAACGUCAAAAAUCUACAGAUAUUAGAUAUGGUAGUUACGCUUUGGUUAUCUUUUUUUUUUUUUUAACAGACUAAAUAUUUGGAUUUUAAUAUGUUUUAUGAUUUAUACAAAUAAAAGUUACAUGCAAAAAUGUAAAACUCUUUUCAUCUAAUGAAGGUGCAAGUUCCAGUAAAUUUAUUUUAUCAGAGAGUUUGGCAAAGCAAAACAAAAGUCAAAAAUUUUUAAAUAUAGGACAUGGUGCAAGUUCUAAUACAUUUAUUCCAUCGGAGAGUUUUGCAAGUCAAAAUGAACGUCAAAAAUCUACAGAUACAAGAUGUGGUAGUUAUGCUGAUAUACUUAUGUUUUUUUAAGAAUUUGAAUGUUUUGGUUUAAUUUAUUUUUUUAAUUUAUGCAAAUAAAAUUUCCAUCAAUACACUCUUAUUAGAAAAUGUUAAACUAUUUUUUAUCUAAUGAGGGUGUAAGUUCAAGAACAUUUACUCCUUUGGUGUGUUUUGCAAGUCAAAAUAAAGGUAAAAACUCUACAGAUAUUAGAUAUGGUAGUUUGGCAUUCGUCACCUUAAUUUUUUUAAUAGAAUAGUUAUUUGUGCGUAAUAUAUAUUUUUUAUUUAUACAGAUAAAAUUUCUUAGAUACAGUUAAAUGCAAAAAUGUUGAACUCUUUUUAUUUAAUCAAGGUGCAAAUUCCAGUACAUUUACUCCUUCGGAGUGUUUGGUAAGUCAAAUUGAUGCUCAACAAUCACCAGAUACUAGAUAUGACGUACAAACAAGAAGCAGAGGUACAAACAAGAAAGAAGGAAAAAUUUACCAACCUGAAAUUGUGCCAGAAAGAAAAUAUCAUAAAUGGGUUUUGAAUGAGGAGACACAACUAAUACAACACUUUCAAAUUUAUAUUAAUGAAAACAAAAUGCCUGGCAAAAAAGAAAUUUUUCAGUUUUUGGAGGAGAAAAUGAUAGACGUUCAAUAUAAAACUGCAAGAACAAAAUUAACGAACGAAAGAACUAAAAUUCUGAACAAUAAAAAUCGUCGUUUGAAAGAUUUAAACAUGAUAGAGUAGAGCCCGUUCAAUUAUUUGUAACAUGACAAAAAUAGAUUCGUCAAACAGGACUUUUUUUAGAACAUAUUUCUGUAUAUUUCAAUAAUAUAACCUUUGUAUUAUAUUUGAUAUAUCUUUGAUCUAUAGUUAUGA